rnacentral:rRNA from 1 species
GAUGAACGCUGGCGGCGUGCCUAAUACAUGCAAGUCGAGCGAACAGAUGAGGAGCUUGCUCCUCUGACGUUAGCGGCGGACGGGUGAGUAACACGUGGAUAACCUACCUAUAAGACUGGGAUAACUUCGGGAAACCGGAGCUAAUACCGUAUAAUAUAUUGAACCGCAUGGUUCAAUAGUGAAAGACGGUUUUGCUGUCACUUAUAGAUGGAUCCGCGCCGCAUUAGCUAGUUGGUAAGGUAACGGCUUACCAAGGCAACGAUGCGUAGCCGACCUGAGAGGGUGAUCGGCCACACUGGAACUGAGACACGGUCCAGACUCCUACGGGAGGCAGCAGUAGGGAAUCUUCCGCAAUGGGCGAAAGCCUGACGGAGCAACGCCGCGUGAGUGAUGAAGGUCUUCGGAUCGUAAAAAUCUGUUAUUAGGGAAGAACAAAUGUGUAAGUAACUAUGCACGUCUUGACGGUACCUAAUCAGAAAGCCACGGCUAACUACGUG